rnacentral:rRNA from 1 species
CACGGAGGAUGUGAGCGUUAUCCGGAUUUAUUGGGUUUAAAGGGUGCGCAGGCGGCACGGCAAGCCGGCGGUCAAAUCGCGGGGCUCAACCCCGCCCAGCCGUCGGAACUGCCGGGCUAGAGUGGGCGAGAAGUGCGCGGAAUGCGUGGUGUAGCGGUGAAAUGCAUAGAUAUCACGCAGAACUCCGAUUGCGAAGGCAGCGCACCGGCGCCCUACUGACGCUCAGGCACGAAAGCGUGGGUAUCGAACAGG